rnacentral:rRNA from 1 species
GGCAGCGACUUAACUGAACCUUCGGGGGACGUUAAGGGCGGCGAGCGGCGGACGGGUGAGUAAUGGCUGGGAACCUGCCCGAUAGAGGGGGAUAACAGUUGGAAACGACUGCUAAUACCGCAUGAUGUCUACGGACCAAAGGAGGGGAUCUUCGGACCUUUCGCUAUCGGAUGGGCCCAGUUGGGAUUAGCUAGUUGGUGAGGUAAUGGCUCACCAAGGCGACGAUCCCUAGCUGGUUUGAGAGGAUGAUCAGCCACACUGGAACUGAGACACGGUCCAGACUCCUACGGGAGGCAGCAGUGGGGAAUAUUGCACAAUGGGCGCAAGCCUGAUGCAGCCAUGCCGCGUGUGUGAAGAAGGCCUUCGGGUUGUAAAGCACUUUCAGCAGUGAGGAAGGUUACGUAGUUAAUACCUGCGUGAUUUGACGUUAGCUGCAGAAGAAGCACCGGCUAACUCCGUGCCAGCAGCCGCGGUAAUACGGAGGGUGCGAGCGUUAAUCGGAAUUACUGGGCGUAAAGCGCAUGCAGGCGGUUUGUUAAGCAAGAUGUGAAAGCCCCGGGCUUAACCUGGGAACAGCAUUUUGAACUGGCAGGCUAGAGUCUUGUAGAGGGGGGUAGAAUUUCAGGUGUAGCGGUGAAAUGCGUAGAGAUCUGAAGGAAUACCGGUGGCGAAGGCGGCCCCCUGGACAAAGACUGACGCUCAGAUGCGAAAGCGUGGGGAGCAAACAGGAUUAGAUACCCUGGUAGUCCACGCUGUAAACGAUGUCUACUUGGGAGGUUGUGACCUAGAGUCGUGGCUUUCGGAGCUAACGCGUUAAGUAGACCGCCUGGGGAGUACGGUCGCAAGAUUAAAACUCAAAUGAAUUGACGGGGGCCCGCACAAGCGGUGGAGCAUGUGGUUUAAUUCGAUGCAACGCGAAGAACCUUACCUACUCUUGACAUCCAGAGAAGCUUGAAGAGAUUCGAGUGUGCCUUCGGGAACUCUGAGACAGGUGCUGCAUGGCUGUCGUCAGCUCGUGUUGUGAAAUGUUGGGUUAAGUCCCGCAACGAGCGCAACCCUUAUCCUUGUUUG